rnacentral:sRNA from 1 species
GCUGGGCGUGGUGGUGCACGCCUGUAGUCCCAGCUACUCAGGAGGCUGAGGCAGGAGGAUCACUUGAACCCGGGAGGCAGAGGCCGCAGUGAGCCAAGAUUGCACUACUGCACUCCAGCCUGGGGACAGAGUGAGACUCCACCUUGAAAAAAAAAGAAGAAAAAAGAAAGUGCAACAGGCUAAAACUUCUGUGCCAAUCAGUAGUGGGAUUGUGCCUAUGAAUAGCCACAGCACGCCAGCCUGGGGAACAUAGUCAGACCCCAUCUCU